rnacentral:rRNA from 1 species
AAAUACGGCCAUACCAUUCUCAGUGAGCCCAAUCCCAUCUGAUCUCAGAAGCUAAGCAGAGCUGGGUUCAGUUAGUCCCUUCAUGGGAGACUGUCUGGAAAUGCCACAUGCUGUAUGUU